AGUGGCGGACGGGUGAGUAACGCGUAGGUAUCUAUCCAAGGGUGGGGGAUAACGGCGGGAAACUACUGCUAAUACCGCAUGACGACUGAGGUCCAAAGGCCGCAAGGUCGCCUAUGGAGGAGCCUGCGUUCGAUUAGCUUGUUGGUGGGGUAACGGCCUACCAAGGCGACGAUCGAUAGCUGGUCUGAGAGGAUGAUCAGCCACACUGGGACUGAGACACGGCCCAGACUCCUACGGGAGGCAGCAGUGGGGAAUAUUGGACAAUGGGGCAACCCUGAUCCAGCAAUGCCGCGUGGAUGAAGAAGGUCUUCGGAUUGUAAAGUCCUUUCGACGGGGACGAUGAUGACGGUACCCGUAGAAGAAGCCCCGGCUAACUUCGUGCCAGCAGCCGCGGUAAUACGAAGGGGGCUAGCGUUGCUCGGAAUGACUGGGCGUAAAGGGCGCGUAGGCGGUUUGAUUAGUUAGGCGUGAAAUUCCCGGGCUCAACCUGGGAACUGCGUUUAAUACAGUCAGACUUGAGUUCGGAAGAGGGUCGUGGAAUUCCCAGUGUAGAGGUGAAAUUCGUAGAUAUUGGGAAGAACACCGGUGGCGAAGGCGGCGACCUGGUCCGAUAC
rnacentral:rRNA from 1 species